rnacentral:rRNA from 1 species
GAUGAACGCUGGCGGCGUGCCUAAUACAUGCAAGUCGAGCGAAUGGAUUGAGAGCUUGCUCUCAAGAAGUUAGCGGCGGACGGGUGAGUAACACGUGGGUAACCUGCCCAUAAGACUGGGAUAACCCCGGGAAACCGGGCUAAUACCGGAUAAUAUUUUGAACUGCAUGGUUCGAAAUUGAAAGGCGGCUUCGGCUGUCACUUAUGGAUGGACCCGCGUCGCAUUAGCUAGUUGGUGAGGUAACGGCUCACCAAGGCAACGAUGCGUAGCCGACCUGAGAGGGUGAUCGGCCACACUGGGACUGAGACACGGCCCAGACUCCUACGGGAGGCAGCAGUAGGGAAUCUUCCGCAAUGGACGAAAGUCCGACGGAGCAACGCCGCGUGAGUGAUGAAGGCUUUCGGGUCGU